rnacentral:rRNA from 1 species
GUCAAGUAAGAAUACCCGCUGAACUUAAGCAUAUCAAUAAGCGGAGGAAAAGAAACUAACUAGGAUUCCCUUAGUAACGGCGAGUGAACUGGGAAGAGCUCAAAUUUUAAAUCACCUUUUGGUGAAUUGUAAUUUGAAGAAAGUGUUUUGACUUUUCAGUUUAAUCUAAAUCCUUUGGGAUGAGGUAUCAUAGAGGGUGAGAAUCCCGUUCCUGAUUAGACCUCGAAUUGCAUUAAUUCACUUUCCAAGAGUCGAGUUGUUUGGGAUUGCAGCUCAAAAUGGGUGGUAAAUUUCACCUAAGGCUAAAUAUAUGCAAGAGACCGAUAGCGAACAAGUACCGUGAGGGAAAGAUGAAAAGAACUUUGAAAAGAGAGUUAAACAGUACGUGAAAUUGUUGAAAGGGAAACGAUUGAAGUCAGUCAUGCUAGUGAGAAAUCAGCAAGGUGGUUUACUUCCUUGUGUACUUUCUUUCAGCAGGUUAGCAUCAAUUUUGGUUGUCAUCAAAUAAUUGGGGGAAUGUGGCUUCUCUUCGGUGAAGUGUUUAUAGACCCUGGUAGAUGUGGCGACUGGGAUUGAGGAUUGCAGCGGAUGCCUUUGGCUAGUCACCUAUCUUCUGACUGUUACCUCGCUUUUGACAGCUUGCUGAUGAUCGUGGGAUUUGAUGGUUUAGAAGGUUAGAGUGUAUAUAAAUUCGCUAAGGAUGCUGACGUAAUGGCUUUAAACGACCCGUCUUGAAACACGGACCAAGGAGUCUAACAUAUGUGCGAGUGUU